rnacentral:lncRNA from 12 species
UCGGGGGGGUGGGAGGCUGUGGCACUGUCUGGGGACAGUUCUUGUCCAGCAGAGCACAACAAGCCACGUGGGUGAGCCUCAACAUUCCAGGCUUGUCAAAGCGGAUAGUGAAAGAGGGAUUCAUCUUAUUAACCCUUAGAGGUCUAGAGUGGAGAGAAAAAUCUAGGACACAAUUCCUUGGAGCUGCUUUUAGUAUCCCCUCAGGCUGGGGAUGGAUUGUGCCUCAUAUUCCAGAGGCUGCACUGAAAACACCUGAACUUAAUGUGAAGGAAAAGGUGGUUGGGCAGCUCAGAGCCAGUUGUCCAGUUAAUUAAAUCACACCUCAGGUGUCAAAAUAAAAGAACAAGGACCUUCUAAUAAAGUACUUUUAACCCAAUCUCAGCAAAUAUUCCUGCAACCAGCUUACCCAUGUAGGAGGAGGAUGGAUGGAUGGAUGGAUGGAUGGAUGGAUGAUGGAUGAUGGAUGGAUGGAUGAUGGAUGGAUGGAUGGAUGGAUGGAUGGAUGGAUGGAUGGAUGGAUGGAUGGAUGGAUGGAUGGAUGGAUGGAUGGAUGGAUGGAUGGAUGGAUGGAUGGAUGGAUGGAUGGAUGGAUGGAUGGAUGGAUGGAUGGAUGGAUGGAUGGAUGGAUGGAUGGAUGGAUGGAUGGAUGGAUGGAUGGAUGGAUGGAUGGAUGGAUGGAUGGAUGGAUGGAUGGAUGGAUGGAUGGAUGGAUGGAUGGAUGGAUGGAUGGAUGGAUGGAUGGAUGGAUGGAUGGAUGGAUGGAUGGAUGGAUGGAUGGAUGGAUGGAUGGAUGGAUGGAUGGAUGGAUGGAUGGAUGGAUGGAUGGAUGGAUGGAUGGAUGGAUGGAUGGAUGGAUGGAUGGAUGGAUGGAUGGAUGGAUGGAUGGAUGGAUGGAUGGAUGGAUGGAUGGAUGGAUGGAUGGAUGGAUGGAUGGAUGGAUGGAUGGAUGGAUGGAUGGAUGGAUGGAUGGAUGGAUGGAUGGAUGGAUGGAUGGAUGGAUGGAUGGAUGGAUGGAUGGAUGGAUGGAUGGAUGGAUGGAUGGAUGGAUGGAUGGAUGGAUGGAUGGAUGGAUGGAUGGAUGGAUGGAUGGAUGGAUGGAUGGAUGGAUGGAUGGAUGGAUGGAUGGAUGGAUGGAUGGAUGGAUGGAUGGAUGGAUGGAUGGAUGGAUGGAUGGAUGGAUGGAUGGAUGGAUGGAUGGAUGGAUGGAUGGAUGGAUGGAUGGAUGGAUGGAUGGAUGGAUGGAUGGAUGGAUGGAUGGAUGGAUGGAUGGAUGGAUGGAUGGAUGGAUGGAUGGAUGGAUGGAUGGAUGGAUGGAUGGAUGGAUGGAUGGAUGGAUGGAUGGAUGGAUGGAUGGAUGGAUGGAUGGAUGGAUGGAUGGAUGGAUGGAUGGAUGGAUGGAUGGAUGGAUGGAUGGAUGGAUGGAUGGAUGGAUGGAUGGAUGGAUGGAUGAUGGGUGGAUGUCAAAGUCAUCAGUAGGAACUCUCACUUUGCCCUCAGGAAGCCUCCUCCUGCCCCCCUCAUUCCCUC